rnacentral:rRNA from 1 species
UGAAAUAACCCAUUAAAGCACAGAAAAGCAGAGAUAACCUCUCGUACCUUUUGCAUCAUGAUUCAGCAAGUUAACUCAAGCAAAGAGCACUCUAGUUUGCACCCCCGAAACUUGACGAGCUACUCCGAGACAGCCAACUAUGGGCCAACCCGUCUCUGUGGCAAAAGAGUGGGAAGAUCUCCGAGUAGAGGCAAAAAACCUACCGAGCCAAGUUAUAGCUGGUUGCCCAAUAAAUGAAUACAAGUUCAGCCCUGCCUAGCCCGACUCACACCAGUUUUACGAAAAAAGACAAAGAGCUCACUCGCAGGAGUUAAUCAGAGGAGGUACAGCUCCCCUGAUACAGGAUACAACCUUUUUAGGAGACAAAAGAAUAUUGCCAAACAAGGCCUUGGGUCUCAGUGGGGCCUGAAAAGCAGCCAUCUGAUCUGAAAGCGUUAAAGCUCCGGCCAAAAGAAAGCCUUUUAUUUAAUCUUAAUAUCUGCUCCCCUAAACCUUAUUGGGCCUCUCCAUGCAUCCAUGGAAGAGACUAUGCUGGAACGAGUAACAAGAAGAAUGAACUUCUCCACGCACAAGUGUAUGUCAAAUUGGACCAACCAUCGACAAUCAACGAACCCAACAAAAGAGGGCCCUACACACCCGCCACCUCUGACCAAGAAAACUAUGUUCCCCAGAAUCGUUGCCCCGACACAGGAGUGCCAGAACAAGGAAAGACUUAAAGAAAAAAAAGGAACUCGGCAAACCCAGACCUCGCCUGUUUACCAAAAACAUCGCCUCUUGCAUUCCAAAGUAUAAGAGGUCCCACCUGCCCUGUGACUCUAAGUUUAACGGCCGCGGUAUUCUAACCGUGCGAAGGUAGCGCAAUCAAUUGCCUUUUAAAUGAAGGCCUGUAUGAAUGGUAUAACGAGGGUCUAGCUGUCUCUUUUUUCUAGUCAGUUAAACUGAUCUGUCCGUGCAGAAGCGGACAUAAAUAUACAAGACGAGAAGACCCUAUGGAGCUUUAGACACUAGCCAACUGUGAAUAAGCGACUGAACUGAACAAGUCCUAAAUACCCGCAGCCUUAUGGUGAUGUAGUCUUAGGUUGGGGCGACCACGGGAGAAAGUAAAGCUCCCAAGCAGACCGGGAAAACCCUUAAGCCGAGAGUUGCAACUCUAAGCCGCAAAAUUUUUGACUGAAAUGAUCCGGUUGAAAAACCGAUUAACGAACCAAGUUACCCUAGGGAUAACAGCGCAAUCCUCUCCCAGAGUCCCUAUCGACGAGGGGGUUUACGACCUCGAUGUUGGAUCAGGACAUCCUAAUGGUGCAGCCGCUAUUAA